rnacentral:lncRNA from 1 species
AAUUACUCCUUGCUUUCUCUUGCCUAACCUGGGUUAACUCUCAAAUGCCUACGGAACUAAACUCAUAACAUAAACAUGGGAUUUGGGACUUGGAUAAGACCCUGCAGCCAAUACAAGGCUCUUAUUUUGCUAACCCAGCUGUAGGAAAUAAGACUCAAACUCUCAGCAUGGCCACUUAUGUCCUGGAUAUUUUUUCUUCUAACCCUUGAAGUUUCAGCUUAGGUAUUAUUCUCCUCAUUAGUUGGGCACAAUAUCCUUUGUUUUCCCAAAGCAUUCUGCAUGUACUCAUCCUGUCAUUUUACCAGUCUUUACUUCAGAGAAGCUGAGUUGUUGUAUUUCCCUGAGGCAGCAAAU